rnacentral:rRNA from 1 species
GAUGAACGCUAGCGGCAGGCCUAACACAUGCAAGUCGAGGGGUAGAGUUAGCUUGCUAACUUGAGACCGGCGCACGGGUGCGUAACGCGUAUGCAAUCUACCUUAUACAGAGGGAUAGCCCAGAGAAAUUUGGAUUAAUACCUCAUAGUAUUAUCGAGUGGCAUCAUUUGAUAAUUAAAGUUCCAACGGUAUAAGAUGAGCAUGCGUCCCAUUAGUUAGUUGGUAAGGUAACGGCUUACCAAGACUACGAUGGGUAGGGGUCCUGAGAGGGAGAUCCCCCACACUGGUACUGAGACACGGACCAGACUCCUACGGGAGGCAGCAGUGAGGAAUAUUGGACAAUGGGCGCAAG